UUGGUUCCGUAUAAUUUUAAU
rnacentral:siRNA from 1 species